CCCUACAAAGUCCAUAAAGCUUCAGCGUCAGAACACAAGGAUGAAGAGGAGAACAGGAAAAUGGAGCUGAGACUCAUUUCUAAGAUGAUUCUCCUUGUGGGAGCAAGUCAGGACUCCAGAACUGGAAGUCAGUUCCAGAGCACCUGCUAGUGUGCUAGUGGCUGCCUCACCAAGCUGCUUUCCUGAUUAACUAGGCUCCUCUUCCCUAUUGCCUCAGGGGAAAGUGGCCCUCCAGUGUCUUCACAUUCACAGGACACACUCACCUCUCCAUCCUGUAUUUGGACAUAGCAUAUGUGUACCUAAGGAACUCUUAAUCUUUGCUUUCAUCCACCAUUUCUAUGCCCUAUGCGGUUUAAGACUGCUCCAAGGCAUGAAGGCUUGUGAUAGCAAGCAUGGGAACAAAGUCAUUCUAAUCAGCUGAAGACCAGAUGCUGCUCACAGUUACCACACUUUACAGCAACAGGAUACAGACUUCUAGAAGUGUGAAAACUUUCCGUUCAGGUAUAAUUUUAUUUACUUUGUGUGUAUACGUGUGUAUGUGCCUACACGAAUGAGCACAUGCACUAGUGCACUGUAGGUGCAGAUGCACCUGCUUAUGUUGGAUAUGCAUGUGGGAUAUACUCAGACACCGUCCAUUUCUUGUUUGAGACAGUCUCUCACUGCUCUGAGCCUCAUCAAGCAAGUUGGGCUGGCUGGCCCAAGAGCCUGGGGAGCUUUGUGGCUCUGCCUUCCUAGCGCUGGGGUUAUGAGGACCUUACCCUGCUUUCUAUGGACCAACCUCCUUAUCUCAUGCCUACACAGCAAGCAAGCACUUUACUGAGCCAUCUCAUCAGCUUCAACUUGUUCAUAUUUACUAUAAAAAAAGAUCUUUUUGUCUACUAUUUUUCUAACACGUGUUAAAACAAAUGUUGUCAAUGUAGGAGUUCUAAGUUGGAAGACCUCAACAUUAGUAAUGUUUUUUUCCACUUAACAUAAUCUUA